AAUUCUCAACCGUCCUUUGAUUUAUUUCGAGGGAUGGCUUGAUUUUGGGAGUUGCUGGCUGACCCUCGGGACGGUCGGCUCUCCUUAAAAGCAUUAGCGAAAGGUGACAAGCCCUGCAUGCACGGCCUUCGACGUGAUAAUGAUCGUCGUGGCUGGAGUGUGAGGCGUAGAUAGUCCAUUUUUUGCUUCCAAAAACAUCGGUAUUUUGGGGAGUUUGCUUCGGCGGACGAACCUUUUUGCCCUUUUUGAC
rnacentral:misc_RNA from 1 species